rnacentral:ncRNA from 1 species
GGGGGACAUCGCAGCCUCCCCAUCACAUGGUAAUCCCGUUCAAGCGCUGC